CCCCUUUUCAAAGAGCUCAAUGGGCCUUUUGCUAGUGAUCCACUGAGCCAUCAAGAAGGGGCACAGUAAAAACACUGCUUUUGGGUGAAAUAGCAAGUGGUAUGGUUUUACUUCAAUGGGAGUUGUGACAAGA
ensembl:snoRNA